rnacentral:rRNA from 1 species
UACGUAGGGACCAAGCGUUGUUCGGAUUUACUGGGCGUAAAGGGCGCGUAGGCGGCAUUGUUAGUCACUCGUGAAAUCUCCGGGCUUAACUCGGAACGGCCAAGUGAUACUGCAGUGCUAGAGUGCGGAAGGGGCAAUCGGAAUUCUUGGUGUAGCGGUGAAAUGCGUAGAUAUCAAGAGGAACACCUGAGGUGAAGACGGGUUGCUGGGCCGACACUGACGCUGAGGCGCGAAAGCCAGGGGAGCAAACGGG